rnacentral:rRNA from 1 species
GACGAACGCUGGUGGCGUGCUUAACACAUGCAUGUCGAACGGAAAGGCCCUGCUUUUGUGGGGUGCUCGAGUGGCGAACGGGUGAGUAACACGUGAGUAACCUGCCCUUGACUUUGGGAUAACUUCAGGAAACUGGGGCUAAUACCGGAUAGGAGCUCCUGCUGCAUGGUGGGGGUUGGAAAGUUUCGGCGGUUGGGGAUGGACUCGCGGCUUAUCAGCUUGUUGGUGGGGUAGUGGCUUACCAAGGCUUUGACGGGUAGCCGGCCUGAGAGGGUGACCGGCCACAUUGGGACUGAGAUACGGCCCAGACUCCUACGGGAGGCAGCAGUGGGGAAUAUUGCACAAUGGGCGGAAGCCUGAUGCAGCAACGCCGCGUGCGGGAUGACGGCCUUCGGGUUGUAAACCGCUUUCGCCUGCGACGAAGCGUGAGUGACGGUAAUGGGUAAAGAAGCACCGGCUAACUACGUG